rnacentral:rRNA from 1 species
AUGCAGCCAUGCCGCGUGUGUGAAGAAGGACCUUCGGGGUUGUAAAGCACUUUCAGUAGGGAGGAAGGUAGUGUAGUUAAUACCUGCAUUAUUUGACGUUACCUACAGAAGAAGCACCGGCUAACUCCGUGCCAGCAGCCGCGGUAAUACGGAGGGUGCGAGCGUUAAUCGGAAUUACUGGGCGUAAAGCGCAUGCAGGCGGCCUGUUAAGUCAGAUGUGAAAGCCCGGGGCUUAACCUCGGAAUUGCAUUUGAAACUGGCAGGCUAGAGUCUUGUAGAGGGGGGGUAGGAAUUUCAGGUGUAGCGGUGAAAUGCGUAGAGAUCUGAAGGAAUACCAGUGGCGAAGGCGGCCCCCCUGGACAAAGACUGACGCUCAGAUGCGAAAGCGUGGGGAGCAAACAGGAUUAGAUACCCCUGGUAG